AUGUACAUUCCUACAACAUAGCGUUAAUGCACCAAAUCCCAUUAGAACUCCACAGUUAAGCGUGUUAAGGCUAGAGUAGUACUGGGAUGGGUGACUGCUUGGGAAGUCCUAGUAUUUUACAUG
rnacentral:rRNA from 1 species